GAUGAACGCUAGCUACAGGCCUAACACAUGCAAGUCGAGGGGAAACGACAUCGCAAGCUUGCUUUUGAUGGGCGUCGACCGGCGCACGGGUGAGUAACGCGUAUCCAACCUGCCCAUCACUUGGGGAUAACCUUGCGAAAGUAAGACUAAUACCCAAUGAUAUCCCUAGAAGACAUCUGAAAGAGAUUGAAGAUUUAUCGGUGAUGGAUGGGGAUGCGUCUGAUUAGCUGGUUGGCGGGUUAACGGCCCACCAAGGCAACGAUCAGUAGGGGUUCUGAGAGUAAGGGCCCCGAGAUGGGAACUGGGACACUGGCCAAACUGCUACGGGAGGGAGCAGUAAGGAAGAUUGGACAAGGGGAGAGAGCCUGAACCAGCCAAGUAGCGUGCAGGAAGGCGGCGCUAGGGGUGGUAACCUGCUGUUAGAAGGGAACAAAGUGAGAGUCGUGACUCUUUUUGUAUGUACCUGAUGAAUAAGGACCGGCUAAUUCCGUG
rnacentral:rRNA from 1 species